rnacentral:lncRNA from 1 species
CAGGCAUGUGCCACCACACCUGGGAAGAGGGUUUAACUCUGCAACAUAAUCAGUGCACAGAAACCUAAAUUGGAAAUCUCUUUCACUACAGACAAGACAGUUCAGAAGUGAAAAGUCACAGUAAAAUUGGGCAUUUCUUUCCAUAGACUUAACAGAAGCAACACCUGGAUUCCAGCAGCUGUACUGGUGUAACUGGCACUUGAACGUCUCCAUCCAAGUGCCCCUUUGUGGCAGAUGAAGAGUUCAGGUUUUGUUCCUCAUCAGCUUUGUGACCUUGGGCAAAGUCCUUGACCUAUCAGAGCCUCAAUUUCCCUAUCUGUGGAAAGACGACCAUGAAAAAAUAUGCACUAUGGGGUGGUUCUGGUGGGGAGAGUUAAAUUAGAUAUAAUUUAGAAAUUCUUAGCAUAAUAUUUGUAUCAUAUAUAUGUUUAUAUAUGUUAAUAUGUAACACAUAAUAGUAUAUAAGAAAGUCAUCUAUAUGAACUUCACACAGCAUAUUAUAUUAUAUAUACACACUACAUGGUGUAU